rnacentral:rRNA from 1 species
CCUACGGGUGGCAGCAGUGAGGAAUAUUGGUCAAUGGACGAGAGUCUGAACCAGCCAAGUAGCGUGAAGGAUGACUGCCCUAUGGGUUGUAAACUUCUUUUAUAUGGGAAUAACAUGUUCCACGUGUGGGCUUUCGUAUGUACCCUAUGAAUAAGGAUCGGCUAACUCCGUGCCAGCCGCCGCGGUAAUACGGAGGAUCCGUGCGUUAACCGGAUUUUUUGGGUUUAAAGGGAGCGUAGGUCGGUUGUUAAGUCAGUUGUGAAAGUUUGCGGCUCAACCGUAAAAUUGCAGUUGAAACUGGCAGUCUUGAGUACGGUAGAGGUGGGCGGAAUUCGUGGUGUAGCGGUGAAAUGCUUAGAUAUCACGAAGAACCCCGAUUGCGAAGGCAGCAUACCGGCGCCCAACUGACGCUGAGGCACGAAAGUGCGGGUAUCGAACAGGAUUAGAUACCCUUGUAGUC